UGGGGAAUAUUGCACAAUGGGCGAAAGCCUGAUGCAGCAACGCCGCGUGAAGGAAGAAGGUCUUCGGAUCGUAAACUUCUGUCCUUGGGGAAGAUAAUGACGGUACCCUUGGAGGAAGCCCCGGCUAACUACGUGCC
rnacentral:rRNA from 1 species